UACAGAGGUCUCAAGCGUUGUUCGGAUUCAUUGGGCGUAAAGGGUGCGUAGGCGGCGCGGUAAGUCGGGUGUGAAAUCUCGGGGCUUAACUCCGAAACUGCAUUCGAUACUGCCGUGCUUGAGGACUGGAGAGGAGACUGGAAUUUACGGUGUAGCGGUGAAAUGCGUAGAUAUCGUGAGGAAGACCGGUGGCGAAGGCGGAUCUCUGGACAGUUCCUGACGCUGAGGCGCGAAGGCCAGGGGAGCAAACGGG
rnacentral:rRNA from 1 species